rnacentral:rRNA from 1 species
AUUGAACGCUGGCGGAAUGCUUUACACAUUCAAGUCGAACGGCAGCACGGACUUCGGUCUGGUGGCGAGUGGCGAACGGGUGAGUCACGUAUCGGAACGUGCCCAGUCGUGGGGGAUAACGUAGUGAAAAUUACGCUAAUACCGCAUACGAUCUAUGGAUGAUAGCGGGGGAUCGCAAGACCUCGCGCGAUUGGAGCGGCCGAUAUCAGAUUAGGUAGUUGGUGGGGUAAAGGCCCACCAAGCCAACGAUCUGUCGCUGGUCUGAGAGGACGACCAGCCACACUGGAACUGCGGCACGGUCCGGACGCCGAAGCGAGGAAGCAGUGGGGUAUUUUGGGCAAUGGUCAAAAGCCUGAUCCGCCCAUUCCGCGUGCAAGAUGAAGGCCCUCGGGUUGUAAACUGCUUUUGACCAAAACGAAAAGGUAUCUACAAAUACUAGGAGCUCAUGACGGUACUGUAAGAAUAAGCACCGGCUAACUACGUGCCAGCAGCCGCCGUAA